ACGUACACUCCUGCGGGAGGCAGCAGUAGGGAAUCUUCGGCAAUGGGGGCAACCCUGACCGAGCAACGCCGCGUGAGUGAAGAAGGUUUUCGGAUCGUAAAGCUCUGUUGUAAGUCAAGAACGAGUGUGAGAGUGGAAAGUUCACACUGUGACGGUAGCUUACCAGAAAGGGACGGCUAACUACGUGCCAGCAGCCGCGGUAAUACGUAGGUCCCGAGCGUUGUCCGGAUUUAUUGGGCGUAAAGCGAGCGCAGGCGGUUUGAUAAGUCUGAAGUUAAAGGCUGUGGCUCAACCAUAGUUCGCUUUGGAAACUGUCAAACUUGAGUGCAGAAGGGGAGAGUGGAAUUCCAUGUGUAGCGGUGAAAUGCGUAGAUAUAUGGAGGAACACCGGUGGCGAAAGCGGCUCUCUGGUCUGUAACUGACGCUGAGGCUCGAAAGCGUGGGGAGCGAACAGGAUUAGAAACCCUUGUAGUCCCA
rnacentral:rRNA from 1 species